CAAACGUUCAUGAUGAAGCUGGUUGUGGUUCUGCUGAAAAACUGAUUCCUUAUUUGGCAGCAAAUGUCAAGGUCACGACUCCCUGGUCUCCCGCCUCGGUUUUCUAACAAAAGAUUUUUGAAGCGAUUUUACAACCUCUGCUGUGCUGGCGACGGGACUGUGCUGCAGUAAAGUUUUAUCUUGUGGCAACAGGUUUUUAUCACAAGAACCGGCAAGGACGAAAUCAGUGCACCACGUCUGUCUGAGUGGAGAUGUUUCUGCUUACCUCAUGCGAAGCAAACAUCCUGUUGGACUAUUUAUCACAGAGGCAGAGCAGGAAAGUCUCUGGUAAAUCCCUUGGUGUUAGACGCUAACCGUUAAUGUAUUUUUACAUCAGCUACGAACAGAAUAACACUCCAUUAUUUAUGUGCUUCCCCACAACAUCAUCUCACCAGACUGCUCUUUAUGAAGAUGAAGAGGAUGGAUCAUUGAGGUGUUCGCCAUUAAACUGUAACAAUAAAUGUAUGAAAUAAAAGAUGGCCGCCAGUCAACUUCCAGUCAGACUGGAAGUUGAGGUUUUAGCUCUGUCGUCUUUCCAUCUGGUCAUCUGUCAUCCUUUACUCCAGUGUCACAAUAAACUGAGCAACACUGCACCGAGGAAAAAAAAUAAAUAAAAAAAAUUAAAAAAAUAAAAGCGAGAAUCGAAUAAAAAAAACAAAAAAAAGUGAGAAACCCAGAGAGCACAGCCUUAUUGCGGUUUAGAUGAAAUCAGUUUCUCCCGCGGCGCCGUAGCACCUUUUGUAGCUUCAUCAGAGUCCUGACACAUCCUGACACCUUAACAAAGUGCUUCUGAGCCGAGUCUGUGUUUGGGUUUAGGCGAAGCACCCAGACAAAUGUAGGUUAAAAUGUAAAACGGUGUGUGAAUAUAAUCCGAGAGCCGGUGUCACGGCAGUGACAGCCCCGGUUUAUUGGAGGCGUCAGGCCGUCCCUCUCGCUGCUACUGUUGCAUCCACUGCACACGGCCCAGCUCAGCGCUGGGAGUUAAGCUGCUCUGUAGUUCUCCGUGUCACUUUUCUAAACACUUUUUCUGUGCUUAUGUCGAAAGAAGCUCCCAUGAAUUGAUGUUGACACGUUUUGCUGGACGUCACCGACAAACUCAUUAUGCAGAAGCAACGUAGAACUCCACCAGAAACUGCUGAGCCUGCGCUUCUGCGGCUCAGCGCGAAGUUCUGGAGUAGUGUUUGUUGUGGUGUCUGCUGUAUUCUUGACUAACAGAGACAGUUCAAUAAAGUUUUGGCAUAACUCAGCUGUUGCAGCUCUGAGAACUUCCUCUAAGUACUUACUGGGCCUGUAAGUGCUUAGUGCAAAUAUUUCACAAACACGAAGAUAGAAGCAAAAAGCACCACAAAUGUAGCUCCUCUUCUGAAGGGAUUACUCAGUUUUUCAGUUUUCUAUAACAACCUGCUCCUUUGCAAAAACCUAGUGUCAGGUUAUAUAACAUAAUACUGUAAAGCCCCACUGCUUAAACACAACUGCUGCACACCAUAGUCAUAAAAAUAAAAGAGUGCUUCUAACUAAAGGCAGUUGAUUUAUUGAUAGUCAUUAGUUUGGCCACCGCUAUGAAAGCAAAGACUGCUGCUCUGGAAAAUACAGGUGUGUGUGUUAGCCCAGUGCCAAGGAGAAAAACACGUUAGGAAUGACCUAUUGCUAUGCGAAGGCCAUAGCAAAACAAUUUGUAGUCCGUCAUUUUGCUGGGAGAGAAGAUUAUUAACAAGUGGAACAUGUUUAGGAGAGCUGGGGGUCUGGUAGCGUCCCCUUCAGGUUAGAGAGGAACUCCAAAUUCCCCAUCAGCUACAGUUCAGAUUCUACAGAUUCUACAGGCUUCAGUUAGCAUGUUACAUGUUAUAUACCAUGGUAAUACACAGAGGACACUUGGCUUUAAUGCUAGAGUUGUCAGACAAAUUCCCCCUUAAUGCGCCGGGACACGUCAGGACAAUCUGGAAUAACGUCCUUCCCACAAGUAGAGUUUAGAUCUACUACCUAACGAGCCUGGUCAGGCCAAAGUGAUAUGCUUGGUGGUCGGGUCAGGCUCUGAUAGCGAAAAAAAAACAACAAAAAAAACUAAAUGAGAAUGCAUAAUAUAAAGAUGUUAAUUUACUUAAUCUAGUCUAAAUAGAGGAAGAGGUAGUUCACCCUGGUGGGGAAAAAAAAUAAAGCAAGUUGCAGAUGUUAGACUGUAAUAAACUAACUAACCUUUCAAAGUCAGAAUGUUUAUUUUAAAAAAGGAAAGACAGAUAUUUCAAUUUCUUGUCAUGAGUCCACUGCAGUCUGACUUCUGUAUUUAGAUGUUGCUCGUCUCUCAUUCUACAAGAUGUUUAUUCUCACUUUGAAAGUAAGAAAAAAUGCUCAAACUCACUAAAACUUGACUCUGCUGCUACCGAGUAAUCAGUGUAAGUUUUCCUUGCACAUAAUGAAUAUCAUACAUUAGUUAAACAGCUGAAUGGCGUCCAUGGUUUUGUUUCUAAAAUUCUCUUCAUGUGAUUGUUUGAGCGUUUUCACGCUACAUUUAAAAGAACACUGACUGAACACCCACCACCACAAGCCGCAUUGUGAACGAAGAGAGAGUAAAAGUGACCCGAAUACGUCCGCUCUGGAAACGGGAGGCAGAGGAAUGAAGCUAAAUCUCUUUGUGGCGCUAAAUUGGCUGUGAGGACCAGCACUUUAGCAUCCUGUGGUAUUUUCAGAGAAUCACGCUUUAGCUGUUCAAAAGAGCAAAUCCCUCACGGCCUUCACCGCCCUCAGUGGGGGUCUCCCUCUAUUCUUCCUUUCUCUUCACUCUUUUCAUACCAAACCACCUCCUCUCUGUGUCUGGCGCUCGUUCGCUGCGUUGCCAGUCGUCUUAAAAGGUCACCCCCACCUGGCGCGGCGCGCGAAGCUAACUGUCAAAUCCCAUCUGUCUUUUAGUUUUACAUUGGUCGUCUGUGUGCACUGAGGUGAGACAAUACAAAUACAGUAGAGCACACUGUGAGGACGACAUGUGAACUGAUGAAUUUAGUUUGACUAAUGAACUAAACAAAAACCUUUAAAAUUAAUUUCAUGCCAUCUUCUUUUCUUUUCUUUUUUACUUUGAAGUGCAGGUUAAACUUUCCAAAUCAGCUUGUCUUGAUGGGGUUUUUUUAUAUAAUAUUAAGUGUAAUUAAGAGUAAGAAUAUCUUAUAAUAAAAACACAAACUUGUCAUUUUAGUUUCAUUCAUUUUUAUACUUUGGUACUGCAAAUUGAAUGAAAUGGAAUAAAGUGGAAAAAGAUCAUUUUUUAUGUCAACUUUUACUUAGUUGAGGACAG